rnacentral:misc_RNA from 1 species
GUGUUUUAGUAACCUCCUUUAAAGUUUAAAUACUAAUUCAAAUACAACUUUUUAUGGAAAUAAUAGUAUAAAAUUAUUUUAAGAACUGAAACAACGAAAAACUGAAUUGAAAUUAUACCGAAAUUUCAGUUUGGUUCCUCUUCAUAGGCAGACCCAAAACUAGAAUCGGAACUGCACACUCUUAAUGUUUGUAUCUAGAAUGUGCCCUAUCCCAGAUUCCCUGUCCAAUUCUUCUUAACUUCAGUGCAUAUAGACAUGGACUCGCCAAUCAACACUAUAAACCAAUAUAGAUGGCAUGAUAGGCACGGUUAUCAGCAUGAAGUCCAAGUUUGACGAGCUGCUGUACCUCGAAUACAGCAUGUUCUCACUAGGCCAUUUUGUUUCUUUCCUCCUCAUAGAUGACAACGAUGACUUAAAACUUCAAAGUGGUAUAUGUUUCUGUUUUUAGAUGGUGAUUGCAGAACCCUCUCUCUUUCUUCUGAACUUUCUUUUGGCUUCCAAGGUGCGCUUAUCAGAUAUAAUGGGAGGAAACUGAAGGGCGUUUUAAAGUUUGCGAGUUUAUUAGAUAUCCAAUGAACUUCGACUAUAUUUAUGGGCUUGGGGAUCAAGAACAGAAUUAUCCAAUCUAAAUAAUAACAAAUGAUGAUAAUACUGUUCUUGAUCGUGCCCAAGUAUUUCAAGAUUUUAAUUCAGCAAAUGCUAAUAACAAGUCCAUGUCACAGGUACUAGAGCCAAUGCCAAAGUGCUCUUCCAUUGCAUCUCCAUCACUGACUGCAUAGAUUUCCUAACUCACUGUUCUUUAUUAGCUUACUUUAGAUUAUGCAGAGUAAUUUGCUAGAAGCAUAGAAUGUGUGAAAUUUGGUGAACCUGUAGUUAUUGAACUGCAUCUUUAUUCCAACCUGCGCCAGUUUCUCUAAAUGCUUAGUUUCUUCCAGGUUGGGCACAAAAACUGGGCCA